rnacentral:tRNA from 1 species
GGGGGUGUAGCUCAGCUGGGAGAGCACCUGCCUUGCAAGCAGGGGGUCAGCGGUUCGAGUCCGCUCAUCUCCA